ensembl:lncRNA
UGAAUAAAGAGGAAGUAACUAAAGCAGACAGAUGUAGAGACAGAGAGAUUCACACAGAGAUCAUUCAGCAGAAAGAAGACUGAACUCAAGUCACAAUGAAGAUCCUCCUCAUCUUCUUCACUUUCUACCUGAUCUCAGAUUCAUGUUGUAAAGUGUCAAAGAGAGUGAUGCUGAAUAUUGGAAAAUCUGCCACCUUCAGCUUUGAAUAUUCAUUCAAUCAUAUACAUGAUCCUGAGAUCAUAUUCAAAGAAGGAAAAGACUCCAUUGAGACGAUUUACAGCAGAUGGAAGAAGAAAGAAAGAUUCAGUAUUUCUGAUGAGAAACAUAAAAACCUCUUCACUGUGAGAAUCACUGGUGUGAGACCAGAUGAUGGAGGAGUUUAUUUGUGUGGAGUUUGGAUCGACAGACACUCAUACAGUUACUCCAUUAUUAAUACUGUUCAUCUACAUAUUAUUGGUGAGUAAAACAAGUUAUCAAUCAGAUCAGUUUUUUAAUGCUUUGAUUCAUAUUUUUGUGUAGUUUUCUCACAUCACAAAUAUAACUUUGAAUGUUGACAGAUUCAUGUUGUGGAGCAUCAGAGACAGUGAGAGUAAAUAGUGGAGAAACUGCUGCUUUCAGCUGUGAAUACUCAAAGGAGCAAAAGUCUCUUAGAAAGAUCAUAUUCAAAACAAGAAAUGAAAUCAUUGAUGAAAUGAUCUCCACUACUGAGAAAUGGUAUCAGAAAGAAAGAUUGAGCAUCUAUGAUAACAGACAAAACCUCUUGAGUGUGAGAAUCACUGCUGUGACACCAGAUGAUGGAGGAGUUUAUUUGUGUGGAGUUUGGAUCAACAGACACUCGAACAAUUACUACAUUAUUACUACUGUUCAUCUACGUAUUAUUACUAAAGUGGGCGUGUCUAGUGUGAGCAGCUACUCAGGAGGUCGUCUGAUGAUCAAGUGUCAACAUCCUCAAUACAAAACCAACCCAAAAUACAUCUGUAAAGAAUCAGACGGAUGCUCAGAGAGGAAGAGUCCAGGAGUUCAGGAUGAAUGGAUGGAGAAUGGAGAUGUUUCUUUAUAUGACGACACCAGAGCAGGAGUCUUGAUGGUGUUUUUUAGAGAGCUGAAAGCUGCAGAUGCAGGAACAUACCGGUGUGGAGUGAAAGUAUCUGACUAUACUGAGAGAUUCACUGAGAUACAGCUGAGCGUCAAACACGAUGCAAAAUACCCAAAGAGAGUGACAGAAUCUGUGUAUCUCGGUGGAGAAGUCAUCAUCACCUGUCAGAUCCCAGAGGAACAUAAAGUUCAUUUCUGUAAAGAGGAUGAUAAUCACAUCUGCCAGAACAUCAGCUCAUCUAAAGUGACAGAAAUGAGUGGUUCAUCAGAGAGAAAUGAAGAGAGAGUUGUUACAGUGAGCAUCAGUAAUGUGAGUGUGAGAGAUGCUGGAGUUUACUGGUGUGGAGCAGAAACCAGAGACACAGAUCUGACUUUCAUCUCCCUGAACACUCAAAUUCAGCUCAACCUCAUCAUGCCUCCAGUAGUGAGACGUGAAGGAGAAUCUGCUGAGAUCAUCUGUCCUUAUGAUUCAAUCUAUAAAUCAAAGCCAAAGUCUCUCUGUAAGGGCAAGUGCUCCACUAGAGACAGAAAUCCUCUCAGUGAGACUGUGAGAGAAGAGAAAGAGACCAAGACUGACAGAUUGACUCUGAAAGAUGACGUCACUGCAAGUGUCUUCACUGGGACCAUCACUGCACUGACAGCAGAGGAUGCUGGGAAAUACUGGUGUGCAGUGACAUUAGAAACAGAGCUCAAUUAUCUUCACACUCAUCUGAUGGUCAUCAUGAACGAGGGUGAGGAAGGUCUCUUCAUCUGAAUAUGUCCAACUCCGGCUGUGAAUUGAUCUUCUUGUGUUUGUAAUCAUUUCCAGAGCUGAACUUGACUAAGUAUGAAGGAGACGACGUGUCAAUCCAGUGCAAACAUCAGGAUGAAGAUCAGAAAAGCUUCUGCAAAGCACAUGAAGCCUCCAUGUGUGUGAAGGAUGGAGUUUCAUUGGAGACAAUCAGAGAUGAUCGAUUCUCUUUCAGUGAUGAAUCAUCUGCUGGAGUCUUUACUGUGAACAUCACUGAUCUGAGAGAAGAGGAUUCUGGGAUAUACUGGUGUGGAGAUCACGUCAUCACUAAAGUCUGUCUAGAAGUCAACAAAAGUAUGUUUUACCUUUACCUGAACUACAUUGUUUCUAUUUAAAGGUGAUUAGUAUCUGUGAUUGUCUUGACGUGGUAGAUUUAGAGAUUAAUUAGCUUUGGGAUUUCCUCAGGUUAUGAAAGCAGAAGUGAAAGAACUGAGCAGCCACAAAUAGAUUUUAGGAAAUUCACAGAUGCAAAUGAUAUCACAUAAUAUCAAAACUAAAACACUACAUGUUAAGAUAUGGGUGCUGUGUUUAAUAUGUAAAAUGUGGUUUAAUGCACAUACUGUGUUUUUUUUUUUACUUUACUGGUAUUACUGGCACCUGUUCUCCAGGGGCUUCUGACAGAAUCAUCACCUCUUGCAUCUUUGUGACUCUGCUGCUGAUGGGAGCGUCUGUCCUGUUUCUUUACAAAUUAGGAUACAUCAAGACACAAGGUGAUGAUAAAAAUCACACAUAAAUUGAAAUUGAAGCAGUUUAGCCAGUUCUCAUCUGAUUCAUUGGAAAAUGGGCCUGCAUUGUUAUCUGUAACCAAUUAUUUGACAAUUUUCCAACCUUAUACCUGAAGACACUGUAAUACUGCACACACAGGCCCAAAAUGACUAUACAGAUAUAUUUUUGAAUAUUAAAAGUAUUAAGUAAGUUUUGUUGUGAGCAUUUGUACUCUGGUUAUAAUCCACAGAUCAGCACCCUUCCCCAGACAGGACAGAGGUGAGCGGUGGAGAGGUGAGGGGGCUUUAGUUUCUUGUUUAUUGAACAUUUUGUUGAAUUUCAUUUGCAGAUGAUGCAGGACUAGAACCAAUCUAAUGAAUUCCAGAACCUGAGAAAUGCCAAAAAAAAUAAAUAAAUAAAAUAAAAAAAAAUACUAGUAAAUGUGUGAUGUAAAACAAAAACUUAAUACUUCAACUCCUGAGAACAUUGUUUUCCAUGCUUGUUUGUAGAGCUGCACAAUUUGGUCAAAAUUGCGUUACUAUAAAUAUACAUAAAAUAAUAAUAAAUAAAAAAAUAAUAAACUGUGAUUAUUAUUAUUAUUAAAUACAAAUAUAAACGUUUCUAAAUAUUGUUUUUAUUAUUAUUGUAAAUGCUCAUGUGUAAAUGAACACAAUGCCAUGCUUCACUCUGCAACAUGCAGCUUAUAUAUCUAAAUUAAUCACACAACCCUCCUAAUCAAUCUAGUUUAUUUCUCUCAUCUAUUUUCAGGCAUUUCAUGCUGCAUGUGACUAUGAGAAUAUCAGAGACGUCAGACAGUGCGUAGUCGUGGGAACUGAGGAAACUGUGUUAUAUUCCACUGCCACGCGUCCCACAGACUCGUCUGAUACACACAACACACUCUAUUCUAAAUUACAGUUACCCACAAACCCUUCUGAUGGGCUUCUGUAUGCUUCAGUCCAUUUCCAGAAGCAUGACGAGUCUCUCAGCGAUGCUAAAGUAACCUCCAAUAAAGAGGAUUUUUACUGUAAUUACACCACGGUCAGUCCCCGCAUGUCACUCAACUAAUUCAACUCUUAAAAAUAAAGGGUUCAGAGGGGUGUUUUUUUUUUUUUUUUUGCUGCAGUGAUGCCAAAGAAGAACCCUUUUUGGUUCCCCAAAGAACCUUUCUAUUAACUGUUCUUAAAAGAGCUGUGUUUUUCUUAGUGUUGAGAACAUUGUAAAGAAUGUUUUCAGCUAAUGCUUGUGAAUUGUGAAGAUUCCACUGAUGCUCUUCAUUGAACUGUCAAGGCUGAUGAAGAACAUUUAUUGGGAAUCUGGUCACGAGUGUAGUGAACUUUUAAUGUGUACAGUGACUCCUAACAUACACUUCAGUGACACUUAAAAAAGCAUUUAAUUAGAUACAAAAUUAUAAAUAAAUACUGUACAACAAAUCAAAUACCAUUUAUUGUAAAUAAAGGUAGCAAAAGUACUUUUUUCUCUUAUAUUUUAUCUCGAAAUAAGAAGUAUUACAUGACUUUGUGUUUGUUUGUGAUUAGUGUUAACAUAUCCACAGUGAACUGCCCUUCUCUACACUCAUAAAUGUGAAAGAAAUUCAUAAAUGAUGAAAACCUAGUAGCAUUUGUUUACACAUGAUCUUCUCUGUUCAGGUUACCAUUGUUAGUCAUUUUAUCACACUACCAAGAAAUCACAGAUAACUGAAACUGUAGAUAAACAAAUUAAACACAGGAGCAGAGCAUCUGCUGGAAAUGUAGAAGAAAACAACUCGACUGGACAUUUGUUUUACACACCCUUGCACCCAAAAGCAUCUGCAAACGACUGAUGCGUAAAAAUGAAGGAAGAAAAAGGAACCAUAACAUAUGUAUUUUCAUUAUGAAUGUACUUACUGCAACUGUUUAUUUAUUCGUUCUAACUGCACUGCGUUUGUUCAGAGAUGCCUCAUAGGCAUAGAAGGACCAUAUGAAAUAAAGCAGUGUGUUUAAGAGCCUAGUGUGUGUGUGUUUGUUAUAUACAGUUUUUGGUUUUUCAUUUAUCAG